rnacentral:lncRNA from 1 species
GCCCCCAAGCUCAGGUGUUAGGAAGUCUUAGGAGAGUGACGUCGCAGUCCGCAGAGGUCAGGCAUGGAGAGCCCGCAGGUGUCUGCUGUCUGUAGUCACCCUCACUUCACCCCUAGAUGUGACCGAGUAUUUUUUUUCCAGCCUGUGGGGGGUUGGGAGGAGGAGUUGUGGCUAUCAGCAUGGCCUCCUUGCUGCAGGUCUGGAGCUGCAUGCUCUCAGUUCUCUUCUUCUCUGUGGCAUGAGCUAAGCCCCAUGGGCUUCUGGGUAGACUGCGCAGAGGAGGGCAGUGGACACCCUAAGUCAGGGAACUGGGGCCCGGGACACAUAGCUGGGUGCUACCCCAGGGAAGACUGCCCCUCUUGCAGUUGAGAACCUUUGUGACAGCAAAUGAGGAGCUAGAAGACAGACAGACAGACAGACAGACAGACAGACAGACAGACAGACAGAAAACAAACCACCAUGAGUGACUAGGUAUGUGACCUGCGCUCAGUAUGUGACCAAAGUCAAGGCUUCCUAUAUGACCAGGGCCAGGGCCAUAUAGUGUAUAAGCAUCAUCAGGGCUCCAGAUGUGAGCAGGGUUGGGUCUAAGCCCUGAGCUGGUGGUGGCUUUCUCCCUGACGGACUGCAGCAUCCGCAUGGUCUCCAAGCUGGACACUCCCUCGUUUUUCUUGCACUCUCAGAAUAGU